UACGUAGGGUGCGAGCGUUGUCCGGAAUUAUUGGGCGUAAAGGGCUCGUAGGCGGUUUGUCGCGUCGGGAGUGAAAUCAUCUGGCUUAACUGGGUGCUUGCUUUCGAUACGGGCAGACUAGAGGUAUGCAGGGGAGAACGGAAUUCCUGGUGUAGCGGUGAAAUGCGCAGAUAUCAGGAGGAACACCGAUGGCGAAGGCAGGUCUCUGGGCAUUAACUGACGCUGAGGAGCGAAAGCAUGGGGAGCGAACAGG
rnacentral:rRNA from 1 species